GCAGGGGGAGGAGGUCUCGGCCUCCAGGCAAAUGCAUCAGGAGCAUUUUGGGCCCCCAAAAGCAGCCACUGCCAGUACCAGACUGGGUAUAUCUUCCCCAGACGGGGCAUACACAUCCCUGUCUGUGUGUCUCCUGGUUAUGUGCUCAGCUUCCAUAACCGUGGAGCCUGCAAAGGGGAAAGUGGGCAGCUGCACUCCUCAGCCUGGGCAGAGGCCAUCUGAGGAGACACAAGACACUGUCUGCUCGCUCUUACUUGGCUAUGGUUGUGUUUUGCCCUGGGACAUGCUCCCUCCUCUAUACACACCCCUUGCCAACAUCUCCCUGAACAAAAUAACAUCCAUAUUAUCCAGUGCUGUGAUGAUUCACCUCCUCUUCCCUUCAAUACCCUCCCCUGCCUUCCUCUCCCGUCCCCUCCUCUCCCUUCGCUUCCCCUCCUCUCUUCCUUCCCUUACCCUCCCUCUAUCUCUCUGCAAAAGCCAGGGAUGUCUUCUCCAUCUCCAAGGGGCAGUGCCCAAGAGACAACCCUCUGCAGUGUGUCACAAAUUGCCAUUCUUCUGGGAGUGGGGAAGGGGUUCCAUAAACACCCGUCUUAUACCCACCAAGGGCAAAGCCAUCCUCCCUGGGCAGCUCAGAUGGGCAUACACGGAGGGAAGAAAAAUCUACACACAAGGCUGGGAUGCAGAAAUCUUUAAUGAGUGUAGAGAGGAAAAGGAGGUCACUCCAAGCAGAAGCCCCUCAGUGUGGGAAUCACCAAGGCCAACAUAGAGGUAGUGUCCCUUGCUCAUGGUGGAGUUCAUGCAGGGCAUGUGUCUGCUGUUACCGCAGUGGGAGGGCUGGCACUAAGGAGCCCCACAGACCAAGGGAGAAGAAGAGCACAAGGAAAAGGAAGAGAAGGAGGUAGGUGGAGAGAUGGAAGGAGAGGCAUGAGCCAUGUUUUCAGAAAGCACAGGCUGGCCCCUUCCUGCCAGCAUUUGCCAGAGGAGCUGAGAAAGCAAUGGCCUGAAGA
rnacentral:lncRNA from 1 species